UACGUAGGGGGCAAGCGUUGUCCGGAUUUACUGGGCGUAAAGAGCGUGUAGGCGGCCACGCAGGUCCGUUGUGAAAACUGGAGGCUCAACCUCCAGCUGUCGACGGAAACCGUGUGGCUAGAGUCCGGAAGAGGAGAGUGGAAUUCCCGGUGUAGCGGUGAAAUGCGCAGAUAUCGGGAAGAACACCCGUGGCGAAGGCGGUUCUCUGGGACGGUACUGACGCUGAGACGCGAAAGCGUGGGGAGCGAACAGG
rnacentral:rRNA from 1 species